GACGAACGCUGGCGGCGUGCUUAACACAUGCAAGUCGAACGGAAAGGCCCUGCUUUUGUGGGGUGCUCGAGUGGCGAACGGGUGAGUAACACGUGAGUAACCUGCCCUUGACUUUGGGAUAACUUCAGGAAACUGGGGCUAAUACCGGAUAGGAGCUCCUGCUGCAGGGUGGGGGUUGGAAAGUUUCGGCGGUUGGGGAUGGACUCGCGGCUUAUCAGCUUGUUGGUGGGGUAGUGGCUUACCAAGGCUUUGACGGGUAGCCGGCCUGAGAGGGUGACCGGCCACAUUGGGACUGAGGUACGGCCCAGACUCCUACGGGAGGCAGCAGUGGGGAAUAUUGCACAAUGGGCGGAAGCCUGAUGCAGCAACGCCGCGUGCGGGAUGACGGCCUUCGGGUUGUAAACCGCUUUCGCCUGUGACGAAGCGUGAGUGACGGUAAUGGGUAAAGAAGCACCGGCUAACUACGUG
rnacentral:rRNA from 1 species